rnacentral:tRNA from 1 species
AAUUAAGAAACAAUAUUUUGUAUUCAAUUACGAUUUGAAAGUUAGAUUUAAAUUAAUCCUUAAUUG